UUUUUUAAACGCCCAUUCCAAACGACGUCGUUUUGAUUUUUUAAUUAACAAAAAAAAACCCUGGCUGAAUCUGAAGCACCACCAGAGACACUGUCACAUAGAGGCAGAGCUGGGAGCUCACCUCGGUACCGCCACUGCAUGCUCGCCGCGCCUCCCUCCGCCUUUCCUCCGUCUCAGUGAGUGGUUGUUACUGCUCGUUCCUCGUGGUCCGUGCCUCCGUGGUUAUUGCUGCCUGCACGCUGCCGUUCGUCGUCCACCUUCCGGAAUCGAUUCUGCCUCUGCAACAACAGGUAUCGGAUGAAGAUUUGGAUGUCAUCUUCAUCAUCUACCCAUCACAUUUAUAUGUGUAAUAUGUUUAUUCUACUUUGCAUUCUCCAGAUCAUCAUAAAGGGCCCAGCCCUCUGCUUUGGGAAUAUGGAUGAGGAUAAAAUUCUGAGAGUUGGAGAAGAGCUUGAGAGAGAAACGUUGCUAUUACAAGGUGGCUCUCGCUUUUAUCAAUUAGAGAAUCUGAGACCACACACUUGGUAUGAAGUGAAGAUAUCAUAUCCAGCUUCUGUACCAGCUAUUUUCUCCAUACAACUACUUAAAUCGAAAUUGUUGGUGAACAGUAACAGGAGAUUACUCAACACUGAGAAGCUCAUUUUCAAAUCCUAUGGUGAUGAGGAUAAACACAACAUAUUAUUGGUAACUGUGGAGCCAGAGGGGUUUCCAGCAAUACCACAUGUACAAGAGAGGGAGUUUAUUAUCUUCAACAUUGUCUGUGACGAACUGUUAUUAGGCAUACCCCACAAAGCUUGGUGGGUAGUGGCGCUGGCAUUACUCUGUCUAUGCAUUGCAUUCGUCAUCCCUUCUUUUCUUCCACCGUAUUUGUUACCAAAAAACCAAGUGUCAAGGUCUACUCAACAUGUCUCAAAAACUUUUUGACAAGUGAUUGUGAUUAUAACAUUAUUUGAGGCACACCUACAUAUUCAUGUUACACUGAAGACAAAUUUGGAAUCCACCAGCUAGUUAAUAGAGCAACAAAAAUGGUGAAAAAGGAACAGUUCUAAGAAAUAAUCAAACACAUAUCUUAAGACGAGGAAAUAUUCUUACAAGAGUUCUGAUUUAUUAACAUGAUGACUACACAAAUAAAGUGAGAGAUUCAUCCUCAGAAACCAACAAAGAUACAAUAAAAAGUGAAAAGACAAAUACAGAAUAUAACACUGGACAGUGGACACAAGAUACAAACAUGAUAAC